UACGGAGGGUGCAAGCGUUAAUCGGAAUUACUGGGCGUAAAGCGCACGCAGGCGGUCAGUUAAGUCGGAUGUGAAAUCCCCGAGCUCAACCUGGGAAUUGCAUCUGAAACUGGUAGGCUAGAGUCUUGUAGAGGGGGGUAGAAUUCCAUGUGUAGCGGUGAAAUGCGUAGAGAUCUGGAGGAAUACCAGUGGCGAAGGCGGCCCCCUGGACGAAGACUGACGCUCAGGUGCGAAAGCGUGGGGAGCAAACAGG
rnacentral:rRNA from 1 species